AUUCCCCUAGUAACUGCGAGUGAAGCGGGAAAAGCUCAAAUUUAAAAUCUGGUGGCCUUUGGCCAUCCGAGUUGUAAUUUAGAGAAGCGUCUUCCGCGCUGGACCGUGCACAAGUCUCCUGGAAUGGAGCGUCAUAGAGGGUGAGAAUCCCGUCUUUGGCACGGACUCCCAGGGCUUCUGCGAUGCGCUCUCGAAGAGUCGAGUUGUUUGGGAAUGCAGCUCAAAAUGGGUGGUGAACUCCAUCUAAAGCUAAAUAUUGGCGAGAGACCGAUAGCGAACAAGUACCGUGAGGGAAAGAUGAAAAGCACUUUGGAAAGAGAGUGAAACAGUACGUGAAAUUGUUGAAAGGGAAACGCUUGAAGUCAGUCGCGUCGACCGAGACUCAGCCUUGCUUCAUCGGCUUGGUGUACUUCUCGGCUGACGGGUCAGCAUCAACUUCGAUCCUCGGACAAUGGCAAGGGAAAGGUAGCACCUUUCUAGGUGUGUUAUAGUCCUCUGUCGCACGCGAGGGUCGGGAUUGAGGAACUCAGCACGCACCUCUCGGUGUCGGGGCUUCGGCCCACGUUACGUGCUUAGGAUGCUGGCGUAAUGGCUUUAAACGACCCGUCUUGAAACACGGACCAAGGAGUCUAACAUACCCGCGAGUGUUCGGGUGGAAAACCCGUGCGCGUAAUGAAAGUAAAAGUUGGGACCUCUGUCGUGGAGGGCACCGACGCCCGGACCAGACCUUCUGUGACGGCUCUGCGGUAGAGCGUGUAUGUUGGGACCCGAAAGAUGGUGAACUAUGCCUGAAUAGGGUGAAGCCAGAGGAAACUCUGGUGGAGGCUCGUAGCGAUUCUGACGUGCAAAUCGAUCGUCAAAUUUGGGUAUAGGGGCGAAAGAC
rnacentral:rRNA from 1 species